rnacentral:rRNA from 1 species
GAAUGUUAUUGGUCAAAGGCCAUCCUCUGGGUGUGUCUCGAUUGAUACUUCCUAUCUUCUGUUGAGUGGGGUUAAACCCAUUUACAGAUCAUUUACUUUGAAAAAAUUAGAGUGUUCAAAGCAGGCGUAACUUGCCUUUGAAUAUUACAGCAUGGGAUAAUAGAAUAUGACGUUGGUCUUAUUUUGUUGGUUUCUAAGGCUGAUGUA